GGGCACAUGGUGUAGUUGGUUAUCACGCUCGCUUAGCAGAUGCAGAAUCUGGACUGCGAGAGGUGUUGGGUUCAAUUCCCAAUGUGUCCA